rnacentral:rRNA from 1 species
UGGGGAAUUUUGCACAAUGGGGGAAACCCUGAUGCAGCGACGCCGCGUGAUUUAGAAGGCCUUCGGGUUGUAAAAAUCUUUUCUAUGGGAAGAAAAUGACAGUACCAUAGGAAUAAAGACCGGCUAAUUACGUGCCAGCAGCCGCGGUAAUACGUAAGGUCCGAGCGUUGUCCGGAAUCAUUGGGCGUAAAGGGUACGUAGGCGGGUAAGCAAGUUAGAAGUGAAAUCAUGUAGCUCAACUACAGUAAGCUUUUAAAACUGCUCAUCUUGAGAUAUGGAAGGGAAAGUGGAAUUCCUAGUGUAGCGGUGAAAUGCGCAGAUAUUAGGAGGAAUACCGGUGGCGAAGGCGACUUUCUGGCCAUAAUCUGACGCUGAGGUACGAAAGCGUGGGUAGCAAACAGG